UGUGGCAGAUAAGUGCCAUGGAUUUAAGCUCCAUUUAUGGAGGAAUUUAUCCUCUCAUUAGAA
rnacentral:tRNA from 1 species